rnacentral:rRNA from 1 species
GGAGUUUGGGCCGUGUCUCAGUCCCAAUGUGGCCGUUCACCCUCUCAGGCCGGCUACUGAUCGUCGACUUGGUGAGCCGUUACCUCACCAACUAUCUAAUCAGACGCGGGUCCAUCUUACACCGAUAAAUCUUUUCACACUGCAUCAUGCGAUACCGUGCGCUUAUGCGGUAUUAGCAGUCGUUUCCAACUGUUGUCCCCCUGUGUAAGGCAGGUUACCCACGCGUUACUCACCCGUCCGCCACUAAGCUUACAUUUCCAUUGGAGCAAGCUCCGCUUUCUACAUAAGCUCCGUUCGACUUGCAUGUGUUAAGCCUGUAGCUAGCGUUCAUC